GAGGGGGGCCACGACGGCACUAAGUACUGCUAAUACUUAUACCCAUGGUUAAACUCCAUGGCCUCCUUAC
rnacentral:tRNA from 1 species